AAAUCAUGUUGAAAACGCCAGUUCUUGUUCGAUCACUGAAGUUAAGCCACAUCAAGCCUGAUCAUUAUUUAGAUGGAGGACUGCUUGGGAACACUGGGUACUGUAAG